AUUCCAGGCUGUGGAUCCGGUCGUGGGAAGCAGUAAAGAUGGGAUCUUGUUCUGUUGCCCAGGCUGGUCUCCAACUUCUGGCUGCAAGUGAUCCUCCCUCCUUGGCCUGGCAAAGUGCUGGGAUUACAGGGCCGCACACAUACAGAGCUGAACUUGUAUCGCCGUGUAGAUGAAGACAAACACCUUUAGGAGAUGGCAGAGAAACAAAAUGGGAAACCCUCAGGUCUCCAAAUGACUACACCAAGCAGAAUUGCCCCACCAGCCUGCACCAUUCAUUUCUAGACUAUGAGCAAGAAGUACACUUCCAUCUUAUUUAAACAACCAUAUUUGGGGUUUUUGUUGUUGUUAUUGUUGUUGUUAUAGGAGCUUAGCUUUUACUCUAAGAAAUACAGCUACUCAACUCACUUCAUUAGGAUCUUAACUAUAAUAUCAAAACCUCCUAAGCACAGAAUAAAAAAUACAGUAGAGCAAUAUCAUUUAUGAUCAUAGAUGCAGAGCUUCCAAAUGAAAUACUAGCAUAUUCAAGGAAAGAUAUAUAUACCAUGACCUAGUUGUGUUUAAUUUCUGGAAUUCAAAAAUGGAAUGUUUGACAUAAGAAAAUCUAUUAGGCCGGGCGCGGUGGCUCACGCCUGUAAUCCCAGCACUUUGGGAGGCCGAGGCAGGCAGAUCACGAGGUCAGGAGAUCGAGAUCAUCCUGGCUAAUACGGUGAAACCCCGUUUCUACUAAAAAAUACAAAAAAAAAAUAUUAGCUGGGAGUGGUGGCGGGCGCCUGUAGUCCCAGCUACUUGGGAGGCUGAGGCAGGAGAAUGGCGUGAACCCGGGAGGCAGAGCUUACAGUGAGCUGAGAUCGUGCCACUGCACUCCAGCCUGGGUGACAGAGCGAGACUCUGUCUCAAAAAAAAAAAAAAAAAGAAAAAAGAAAACAGUUUGGCAGUUCCUCAAAAAGUUAAACAUAGGAUGUUUGAAAAUUUAAACGUAAUAUGACCUAGCAAUUCAACCCCAGGUAUACAACCAAGAGAAUUGAAAACAGGUGUUCAAACAAAAACUUGUACAGGAUUGCUCAUAGCAGCAUUAUUUAUAAUAGCCAAAAGGAAGAAACUACUCAAAUGUCCAUCAGCUGAUGAAUGGAUAAACAAAAUAUGGUGUAUUUCUACAAUGGACUAUUAUUCAAUCAUAAAAAAUGAAAUGCUGAUAAAUGCCAAAAUUGACGAACUUUUAAAACAUGCUAAGUGGCUGGGUGGGGUGGCUCUAGUCCGUAAUCCCGGCAUGUUAAGAGGCCGAGGUGGGCGGGUCACUUGAGCCUGGGAGGUCGAGGCUGCAGAGAGCUGAGAUCGCGCUACUGCACUCUAGCCUGGGUGACAGAGCAGACCCUGUCUCAGAAAGAAAAGAAAAAACAGAAAAGAGAAAGAAGACAGGAGAGGAGAGAAGGGGAGGGGAGGGGAGGGGAAUGGAGAGGGGGAGGGGAGGGGAGGGGAAGGGGGAGGGAAGGGGAGGGGAGGGGAACAUCCUGGCCGGGUGCAGUGGCUCACGCCUGUAAUCCUAGCACUUUGGGAGGCCAAGGUGGGCGGAUUGCCUGAGCUCAGGAGUUCGAGACCAGCCUGGGCAACACGGUGAAACCCCGUCUCUACUAAAAUACAAAAAAAUUAGUUGGGCGUGGCGAUGUAUACCUGUAGUCCCAGCUACUCAGGAUGCUGAGGCAGAAGAAUUGCUUGAACCCAGGAGGUUGAGGUUGCAGUGACGCGAGAUUGCACCACUGCACUCCAGCCUGGGUGACAGAGUGAGACUCUCUCCCAAAAAAAAAAAAAAAGAAAAGAAAAGAAAAGAACAU
rnacentral:lncRNA from 1 species